GCGAAAAUGCACUCACUCGACAUCGCGUAGAUCGGUCUUGGCCUCGGCUAGUCUCGUCAAACGCUCGUCCGCGAGGCCGUUUUUACGAUAUUAGUACGACGAUUAGCCGUCUUCCGUUUGGUCGAUGAAGUCAUUUUGGGAAAAAAUUCAUUCGGUAUAUCUGUUAAAUCGAUCGGAUUAGAGGAAAGAAAUUACAUAUAUUUGUCUUUGGGUAUUAAAUGUUUUUUUUCUUUUUCAUUUAUAAUCUAUUACAUCAUUAGCUCUUUAAAUUAAUUCACAUUAUGCUUAUGAUUAUUUUUUUGUAUGAAACGAGAAAUAGUGAAGUUGUAGGAGAUUAAAAAAACGAAAAGCAAGGAGGAGUCGAGCAUCGAAGGACGUCGCUCUAUUUGCAGAGCGUCGGAGGCGAACGAAAAUGGAGAGUCGCUUCCACGCGUUUGCCUUGCGGAUGAAUAUUCCGCUUGUGUCAACUAAGCGUUUCGUGUUCGUCGCUUUCAACGAAUCUGUUGGAUAAAUUUGCUGGAAGACCUUCGACUUUUCAAUCUCUAUUAAUUCUCCCUUUUACGACAGAAAAAUACUUACAAUUAGAUUUAUUACAAUAUUGUCAUAUUUUACGAGCUAAUAAAUUAAUCAGGCAAAAGUAACAGAUCGUUGGAGGUAAAACCGA